rnacentral:rRNA from 1 species
ACUCAAAUGAAUUGACGGGGGCCCGCACAAGCGGUGGAGCAUGUGGUUUAAUUCGACGCAACGCGAAGAACCUUACCAAGGCUUGACAUGGGGAAGCCCGGACGAGAGAUCGUCCUUCUCCCGCAAGGGAGCUUCCCACACAGGUGCUGCAUGGCUGUCGUCAGCUCGUGUCGUGAGAUGUUGGGUUAAGUCCCGCAACGAGCGCAACCCUCGCUUUCAGUUGCCAUCAUUCAGUUGGGCACUCUGGAGGGACUGCCGCGAAUAACGCGGAGGAAGGUGGGGACGACGUCAAGUCAUCAUGGCCCUUACGUCUUGGGCUACACACGUGCUACAAUGGAUGUUACAAAGGGCUGCAAGAACGCAAGUUGGAGCCAAUCCCUAAAAGCAUCCUCAGUUCAGAUUGAGGUCUGCAACUCGACCUCAUGAAGGUGGAAUCGCUAGUAAUCGUGGAUCAGAACGCCACGGUGAAUACGUUCCCGGGCCUUGCACACACCGCCCGU